GUAACAACAAGCGCAUUGUUAAGUUUCACUGGCCGUCAAACUUGUUUCAGACUUUUGUUACGUUGCUGCUUUUUCAUUAUUAACUCCUGUGUUUGUAUCUGCCCGAAUCCACUUGGUUUGGGCUUUUUUUU
rnacentral:antisense_RNA from 1 species